rnacentral:rRNA from 1 species
AUUAUGAAAGCAAAAAAUUAUGGCGGUAUUUUAAGCUUUUCAGAGGAAUUUGCUCUUUAAUGGAUAAAACACCUAAAUCUUACUUAAAUUUGUUAAUUCAAUUUGUAUACCACUAUAAAAACAAUUUAUAACUUUAAUUGUUUAAAUUUAUUAAAUUAAAAUAUAUUAAGUCAAGGUGCAGUAAAAAUUUAAGGAUGAAGUGAAUUACAUUACUCUUUAGAGAAACAAAUUUAAAAUAAUACUUAGGAUUUGAAAGUAAAAUUAAAAUAGAAUGU